rnacentral:lncRNA from 1 species
AUGAUCAGAUUACAAAGAAGAAAGAAAGAAAGAAAUGCAUCUGGGCUUAUAUCCAAUUGGAUUACUGUCAACCACAUCCAGCUGAGAAGGGAAAAGACAGAUGUAUUGAUGGUCACUGAAAUGAGAUGGAACAAAAGACGACAACCUGAGCAGAGAAGAAAAGCUACAGUGCUUUGUAAUUCUGAGCAUAGUGCAUGCAUCCGAUGGAGCACAGGGAAGGAAGGCAGCUGGAAAACACACCAUCCACAGCGCAUACGAGAUGUUGUGGUGACUUGGCCGCGUUGAUUUGCUAUUCGCAACUUGCUCCAUGCCACCUCUUCCUCCUCCUCCUAAUUGUCGCCCACGUGAGCAGCGUGGUGAUUCAGAGGGGAAAAGCUGCCUCAAUGCAUGCGGGAGUUGGAGCUUAGUGAUAAACUCGGGUCGUAGCACUGUGACCUCGUCCCACCAUUCCAGUACUUUGCUAGGACCACUCCUAAAUAUAAUAUAAACGCUGCUGGGUGCGGAGGAGUUAUCAGUCUGGAUGUGCAAUACAGGAGAACUGCUGAGACCAGAAUUUAUUCUCCAUCGCUUUGGAACGAUCAGCUGGUAGAAGCACGCAGUGCUCUUAAUGAAGAACACUGUUUUCUCAUUUUCUCCAGGACUGAAUUCUUUUAUUCUGCUUAGUGUUUGUCAGCUCUAGCCUCGCAUUAUGAUAUUUGUGCCAGACCCUCAGCUGGCAUGGUCCUGCAAAAGUCAGUGCAGCUACACUGUUAUACACCAGCAGUCAGCUGGGCCCUCUCUGAGCAGAAGGGCUGCUGAUAGAAGGGAUGCUCUUUAGUGAAGGGUCAGGCACAAGAACAUCAGCUUCUUGUGUGUUCC